UGGUUCUGGCAUCGAUGAAGAACGCAGCGAAAUGCGAUAAGUAAUGCGAAUUGCAGAAUCCGUGAGUCAUCGAAUCUUUGAACGCAUAUUGCGCCCUUUGGUAUUCCGAAGGGCAUGCCUGUUCGAGCGUCAUUAUCACCUCUCAAGCCCCGGCUUGGUGUUGGACUUCGUUGUAGACAUCGUCUGCAACGGGUCCCAAAGACAGUGACGCCGUCCCAGAGGGAACCGGUACGAGGAGCUUCCAGUUAAGCAUGUACGCGGGACGACUUUGCGGACGGCGGCCUCUUAUUAAUUUUUCAAGUGUUGACCUCGGAUCAGGUAGGGAUACCCGCUGA
rnacentral:misc_RNA from 1 species